CAGUCGCCGCGGGAAUACGGAGGGUGCAAGCGUUAAUCGGAAUUACUGGGCGUAAAGCGCACGCAGGCGGUCUGUUAAGUCAGAUGUGAAAUCCCCGGGCUUAACCUGGGAACUGCAUUUGAAACUGGCAGGCUUGAGUCUUGUAGAGGGGGGUAGAAUUCCAGGUGUAGCGGUGAAAUGCGUAGAGAUCUGGAGGAAUACCGGUGGCGAAGGCGGCCCCCUGGACAAAGACUGACGCUCAGGUGCGAAAGCGUGGGGAGCAAACAGGAUUAGAUACCCCUGUAGUCCCUGUCUCUUAUAC
rnacentral:rRNA from 1 species